rnacentral:lncRNA from 1 species
CUUAAACAAUGUCUACACUGUAUUUCUGAUCAAUUUGAUGUUAUUUUAAUGGACAAAAUGUUUUUCCUUUUCUUUCAAAAACAAGGACAUUUCUAAGUGUCCCCAAACUGUUGAACAGUAGUGUAACUAAACCAAAAUGGAACAUGCAGAAAAUACAUUUCUGAAGCAACAAAAUGAUACCUUGUUCACCCCCCCUCAAUAACCCAUAACGAAAAAGCCAAAACUGGUUUAGACAUUAAUUUAUUCAAAAUAAAAAACAGAAAUAACACAAUUACAUUAAGUAUUCAGACCCUUUUCUCAGUACUUUAUUGAAGCACCUUUGGCAGUGAUUACAGCCUCGAGUCUUCUUGGGUAUGACGCUACAAGCUUGGCACAUCUGUAUUUGGGGAGUUUCUCCCAUUCUUCGCUGCAGGUCCUUUCAAGCUCUGUCAGGUUGGAUGGGGAGUGUCGCUGCACAGCUAUUUUCAGGUCUCUCCAGAGAUGUUAGAUCGGAUUCAAGUCCGGGCUCUGACUGGGCCACUCAAGGACAUUCAGAGACUUGUCCGAAGGCCACUCCUGUGUUGUCUUGGUUGUGUGCUUAGGGUCGUUGUCCUGUUGGAAGGUGAACCUUCACCCCAGUCUGCGGUUCUGAGCGCUCUGGAACAGCUAGUACAGCCCCUAGUACCUUAGGUAGUACAGUAUAGCCUCAGCUAGUCCAGCCCCUAGUCCAGCAGGUAGUACAGUAUAGCCUCAGCUAGUCCAGCAGGUAGUCCAGUAUAGCCUCAGCUAGUCCAGCUCCUAGUCCAGCAGGUAGUACAGUAUAGCCUCAGCUAGUCCAGCAGGUAGUACUGUAUAGCCUCAGCUAGUCAGCCCCUAGUCCAGUAUAGCCUCAGCUAGUCAGCCCCUAGUCCAGCAGGUAGUUGGUUUUGAGAGAGAGCCUUGACAGAAUGAUAACCACGCCACAGAACUGUAUACAUUUAUCAAUGAUACAUGUUCCAACUCGGGUCCCUUGACACAGAGGCAAGUACGCUAACCCCAAGAUAGACAACUCUAGAGCUUCUCCCUAACCCUUAACCCUAACCGCUUAACCCUAACCCCAAGAUAGACAACUCUAGAGCUUCUCCCUAACCCUUAACCCUAACCCCAAGAUAGACAACUCUAGAGCUAACCCUAAACCUUAACCCUAACCCCAAGAUAGACAACUCUAGAGCUUCUCCCUAACCCUAACCCUUAACCCUAACCCUUAACCCUAACCCCAAGAUAGACAACUCUAGAGCUACUCCCUAACCCUUAACCCCUAACCCCUAACCCUUAACCCUAACCCCAAGAUAGACAACUCUAGAGCUAACCCUAACCCUUAACCCUAACCCCUAACCCUAACCCCUAACCCCAAGAUAGACAACUCUAGAGCUAACCCUAACCCUUAACCCCCCUAACCCCUAACCCUAACCCCUAACCCCAAGAUAGACAACUCUAGAGCUUCUGAAAGGUUGUUCUAGUGUGGAUAUGAAUGGAGGCUAUGGUCAUAACAGAGAACAGAAAAACAUGGAUGUCUGAGAGUAGUUGUUCUGCUGGUCAGGGAAGGCAAUAGAUUGUAUAGUUAUCUUCUGAUCAGGGUAAAAUCACUACCCCACAACAAUACAAUCUACUACCUCACAACGCCUCAGCAGAUAGACAAUGACUUCAUAAUGUUGACGAUGUACCUUGAUGAUUUCUUCCUGUUCGUUCUCAAAACACCACAGCAAAUACGAUCAGAAUAGAAUCUUUUACAAUGACCAUAAGAGGAGAUUGACUGUAGUAUCCUUGGUGAUUGACACAUUGAGAAAGACAGUAGGUUGUACAGUUAUCUCCCAGUGUGGGUGUGACCCUAAAACUAUCCAACCUACUACCUCAUCCCACUGAGCUGAGGAACCUGGAGAGGAACCUGGAGAGGAACCUGGAGAGGAACCUGGAGAGGAACCUGGUCUGAUCCACCUCACAGCAUCUGUUGAGAGAGAGACUGGAUAGUAAUACUGCCACUUUUAGGAUCA